rnacentral:piRNA from 2 species
UUGGCGACUUGUGCCUUUGGGAUGUCUUU